rnacentral:rRNA from 1 species
UUUGACUGGGGCGGUCUCCUCCCAAAGCGUAACGGAGGAGCACGAAGGUUAGCUAAUCCUGGUCGGACAUCAGGAGGUUAGUGCAAUGGCAUAAGCUAGCUUGACUGCGAGCGUGACGGCGCGAGCAGGUGCGAAAGCAGGUCAUAGUGAUCCGGUGGUUCUGAAUGGAAGGGCCAUCGCUCAACGGAUAAAAGGUACUCCGGGGAUAACAGGCUGAUACCGCCCAAGAGUUCAUAUCGACGGCGGUGUUUGGCACCUCGAUGUCGGCUCAUCACAUCCUGGGGCUGAAGUAGGUCCCAAGGGUAUGGCUGUUCGCCAUUUAAAGUGGUACGCGAGCUGGGUUUAGAACGUCGUGAGACAGUUCGGUCCCUAUCUGCCGUGGGCGCUGGAGAAUUGAGGGGGGCUGCUCCUAGUACGAGAGGACCGGAGUGGACGCAUCACUGGUGUU